UUCUCUUCCGGCCAAAUGGUCAGUUCGACUCUUUUGGGUUCGAAGCUGAGGACAGAUACAGCGACCUGGCCUUGGACAACGAACAUCAUGACUGGUUCUACUUCAGAAGGUUUAAGAUGAUGCUGUAUGAUUCAAAAGAUGUCCAUAGGACAAAAAAGAUAAAGAGACGAAACAAGAAAAGGAAAUGCUUGCAAUGGAUGUUUUUGCAAAAGGCAUUUGUUACCUGAAAGAUCAUAUGAUGCAGUCUUGUACUGAGAGGAUGUACGGCAGUGGCGUAGAUAUAAAAGAUAUCCGAUGGGUUUUUUACAGUUCCAGCAAUAUGGGAUGACGCUGCCAAACAAUUCAUGAGAGAAGCUGCUGUAAAAGCUGGGAUUCCCGGUUAGAACUUGCUGCUUGCACUGGAACCGGAGGCAGCUUCUAUGUUCUGUAAAUGAUUGGAACAUCAAAAAAGAAAAUCACUUGCUUCCAACCUAAUUCAAAAUACUUGGUGCUUGAUGCUGGAGGUGGGACAACAGAUGUAACAGUACAUAAAGUUCUGACAGACGGGAAGCUUCGAGAGCUUCACAAGGCAAACGGUGGUGCAUGGGGAGGAACAACCAUAGACAACUAUUUAGCCUGACAUGGAGUCAAAAGUAACGUUCAAGAUACAUUGAGCAUUGCAUGAGCUUUUUAGAAAUGAGAAGAAUGGGGAAAUAAGGGAAGCAGUCAGGAGGCACCCACAACUGAGUGGAAAAAUAACAUUAGAGGGCGAUCAAAUGAGAGUUGAAGCUGAGGUCGCACAGUCGUUGUUCGAAACAACGAAUAGGAAAAUUACAGAUCAUAUUAAAACUAUAUUAGCUAGUCCGGAAGGACACAUCAAUUCUCAUGGUCGGUGGCUUUUCAGACUCACCAAUGCUGCGUUACGCGAUACAGUCAGCCUUUAUCAGUAUGAGAGUAAUAAUACCACACGAAGCAGGGCUUGCUGUUUUGAAACGUAUAGUCAUAUUUGGACAUAACAGUUCAGUAAUCACCUGUAGAAUUGCCAAAUACACUUACGGAUUUAAAAUGUAUAAAGAAUUCGACCCUCAAGUUCAUUGCAGAAAAAAGAUGGUUUACACCGAAGGAAAACAAAUGGCUCGCGGAGUCUUUGACAAGCUUGUGACGGUCGGACAGCCUGUUAGUCCAGAGGAACAGUGUGCCACAAAGAAUUAUUCACCAUUACGUGAUUGUAGUACAGGAUUUACUAUAAAGCUUUUCGCCUCGCCACAUAAAGAUCCAAAGUUCAUAUAUGACGACGGUUGCUUUAGCAUAGGGGAAAUAUGUGUAGACUUCAGAGAUUGGUUCGGCAGAGCUGGUGGUGCAGCUGUCAGUCUUAUUUUUGGAGGAACGGAACUCAAAAUUCAAGCUGUAAAUGAUGAAACUAAGGAAGAAACAUAUGCAUCAUUCGACUUUAUAGCAUAGAGAGUCUAAUGAAUGAGCAUCACAUUUUAGUUCGAAAAUAUCAAACAACUGUUGCUAGUUAGCACUGACAUGAUAAAACUUUUAACAAUAAUGUACAUGAUAGCUUGUAUACUCUGAGAAGAAAUAUUCGCUAUUUUGAAAUGCGAGUUGAGAUUUGUUUGGUUGACCAAACUUUUUAUUACUUCUAUAAUUAGUUUGAUAUUGUCGGAAGAAUAUCUGAAGAAGCAGAUGUGAAGUACCUUUGUGAUGGAACACUUCAUUUUGUGCUAUAACAAUCAAAAUUAGAGCUCUUGAUAAUAAAAUACAGGUUUACCCUUCAAGAGAAACGAACCGUUUUCUUAGUUUCUACAGAUAAUAUAUUUUAGUCGAUCCUAUCGAAGCUAUGGAGAAUUUAUUAUCUGUGUUACAUACAAAGGAGGAUAACACAGUAAUGCUGCUGUCAAUUCUCAAUUGUUAUUAUUAGGUUCGUUUAGUCUUUGUCGUUUUAAAAAGACAGCCACACUUUUUUCUUUCUAUAUGUAGUUUUAUCAACGUUUUCCACAUUGUGAAAUUCUUAACGUUUAAUAAUAAAAAUCAUUGCAUUGACAAAGAGCAAUACCAAAUACAGAAAAUAUCAAAUUUUCCCCGGGGCAUUUCCUGAUAUGUAUCUUUUCAAAACUCUGACCUGUGAUCAAUUCAAGGUUGUGUCCAAAAUCCUGCAGUAGAAACGCUUCAUAGUAACUGUAUGAUUUGCAGGUGAUUAAGAACUGCCUUGUGAUACUUACAAUAAAAUGGUGUCAUUUUUUUCUCAAAAUAAUUUUGCCAGGGUCAUUUACUUUCAGUUUAAUUGUUUCAUUUGCAAUGUGUUUAUAUUGUUGCAUACUGUGCUUUCAACUGCACAUCUUUAUUUCAAAUGCGAAGUUUGUAUUUGAAGGUUGUAUGCUUAUAUCAUUUCAUUUAUCUUAAAGAGUAAGUAAUGAGUGUCUUUUAUGUGUUUUUGUGCCAUGUAUGCCUCAAUAAAUUUAAUAGGUAUUGUUGUGACUGUUUUUAUCUUGGUGACUGUUUUUAUCUUAUCACGAGACCGCUUCUUAUCUACUUUAUAAAUGGCAAGGAAGAAGCCAAAUGCCCUCGGAACAAGGAUAGAACAACAUAACGUCCAAACUCAAAUUUUAUGAAUUACUGACUCAAGAUAAUUUAAAGGCAAGCAAAGCCCGUGAAGAGGGAAAUGUUAUUCAAAAUUUGCACAUGCCAGCACUUUACUAAACGCUAAAUAUACGUACAAAACAAUGUAUACCAAGUAAACAUUUAUGUCUCAAGUAGAAACGACUAUAACUCUUUCUUGUACAAUGUUGCUACGUAAAAUUUCUUAGAAACAUGUCAUGCUCUUACUCCCAUAACGUUAUCCCCAAACUACCUUUUCGAUGAUAGAUAAAUCCAGCGAAUAUUUCAUUGCGACGUUCGAAACCGUUGACGAUUAUUUUACUUUGAAAUUUGAAAAUGAUAAACCCUUAUACAAAAUAAAUAUCAUUUUGUGAAAAUUUGUUGAAUAAAACGUCAAACAUCGUGCGGAACUUUAUAAACCUGACAUAAUCAUACAUAAAAGCGCUGGUUAUAGUGCAUAGAGGCACCUGGUUAUAGGUCAAGUCCUUUUUGCAUUCCCUUAAACCUAGAUUAAAUGUAUUCUUAAAAAGAUUAAAUAUUACAAAAGGCGUAUCAAGUAUCAUUUACGUCGAGAAACAUUAGUCUUCAAAUAAUUGUAUAGUGAAUGUAAUAGCAGUAUAGACCAAUAAAUUACCUGAAACGAAACUACUUGUCAAUGACAACCCGUAAACGAUCACUUAAAGUAUAAAGUGUUUUGCCGUUUUAUAAGCGUUAAAAGGACAAAUGCUAUCUUUACAUGAAAGACUUUCAAUUCAAUGUAUUAGCUGAAAGGCCCGUCUACAUACUACAAGCAUGAUUGUUCCUUUAACCUUUUAUCAUGGACAAUUCAAGAACUCUGUGUGAUUCUUUAGUAGUUCAUGAACUGUUCAUUAACACAUUUGAAGGACAGUUCAUGUCCAAAAAUUCAUGAACACAAGUCAAGAACUGUUGAAGGUUUGUUCAUGAACAGUUCUUUAAUGGUUUGAAGUCUUCAUGAUUUCAAGAACUGCAUUUCGCAGAGGUAUUAACAAAAUAUGACUGUUUUAUCAUAUUUCCUGAAAUAAUAUCUUUUGAGUAGCUUUGUUCUUCAACUGGACAUGUAUCACUUCAACUAGAGUUUUUCUCAGUAAAUGUUUUCACCAAUGGUUCAUUUUAAAUGUCCAAAUAUUUGAACUUUAUAAACACUUUGUAGCCAUCUUUUUAUUUACCUGUCAUGAUUUCCCUCCAUUUAAAAUUAAUGUGUCUUUCAAGUUCAAGAAAUAUUGCAAAGCACUAAUUGCUUGUCCAAGAUAUAAAUUAUCAAGUGAUUUAUGAGCCCUACAAGAUUUUCUUGUAGUGUGUAGACGGGACUUAAUGUAGACGAGCCUUAACAGCAUUUUCCGAAAAGAAAAUAAGACAUAUCUUAUCUCUGAUUGUAACUUGUUGAGCUGAGCCUAGAGAGAAAAUGGUUAUCUGAGAAAAUAUCAGUGUCAGUGCAAAGAAUUACAGAUUUCUUGAUCUCAACAGAUAUUGUAAUGUUAAUAAUAUAAAUGGCAUAAUAGUUUGAUAGGCUUAAUCUAAUCUUAAUUAUAAUUGAUAAGAAAUACACAUUUAAAUAUGACGUUUGAUGACAUGUCUCUUUCGCCUUUCAAACGUUCAGCGUUUAGCAGAUUAUCGUUAUACAGCAUCAUUUCGGAAUAAGAUCAUAACCACAUUAUGUACCCGGAUAAUCCUAACUCUGUUCAGCGACCCUAACUCAGUGCCAACAUGGCUGACAGAAAGACGAUGUAUGUAGUUAAUUUCCAUGUCUUUUUUCUUGUUUUUAUGUUAGUAUGCAAUGUUAGCGUAAAACGUUUGAUAGUCAUAAUAUCCUGUAUUGAUAACAUGUUUUGUGUACUAAAUAUUUCAAUCGAAAAGUCACAUUAUGUGGCUGGAAUUCAUUAAAAUGUACUCAAAGAAGUCUUCAAAAUGAACAUAAUUUAUGUUUCUGAUUGUUUUAAAGUACCAGAAAUUGCAGUAAGGCCUUACUUAUCAACUGUAUUAGUUCCAUAAACAUCUCUUUGACAAUGUUUAACAGUAUCAAAGUUUGAAACUGAUUUUUAUAGCUUAAACAUUGUUUUGAUUAUGAGAUGGGUUUAAAUUUGCGGAUAAUUCCUAACUGGUAUAGGAAACAGAGCUGGAUAAAUACGAACUUUGAAUGGAUAAACACCUAACCAAACGAAAACAUAGCUGUUCGUCUGUGCUUUAUUUAUGGACUAUAGAUGCUCGAAGUUCUUUGACCUACCCACCCCGCAGGGAUAUGGGAUUCCUAUGUCCAACUUGUCCGACUCGUGAUGUUUUUGCCGGCGGACAAGUGCAUGUUUCAUUCUGUGUGUCCGCGGACAAACAGACUUUUUCAGGUAUAAAAUGAGAAAACAAAAAAUAUCAUUUAGAUUGUGUGUUGCUUCAAGUGUAUGGAGGUGAUAAAGAUAUUUUAAUGUAUGAAAUCCGCGAUGUACUUGCUGAAAGCCUCUCGAUUGCUGCAGUUAAAAAAAACAACAUUCAUCUGUGUUUUAAGCAUCACUUUCCAUGAUCUGAUUGGUUCUUUGACUAGGUCUCGCGCACACUGUAACUCGGUGGCUAUGAUAAUAUAUCAGAAACGUAAACAAUUUAAAAAAGUAUUAUGACAAGUUUGCAAGUAGGAUUCCAACUGCUGAGACAAUAAGCCACUGUCAAAGGAAAUAUGGGAGCCAGUAGUCAGUCAAAUUAAAAUCAAAAGCACACAGAGAUCGCAGGUAUGACUAAAAACAAGUAGGAACAUUUUAAGUGUCUGUCUCUGAAUUCAUCUGGUUUUGCUCCAUUGCAUGGGCAGUGUUUCGGGCAUGACGUCGAAAGAUCCCGAACCCUGCUUACGCGAUUUCGGACUUUUAUAAACGUUAAAAGGCAAAUAUUUUAACAGCUUAAUUCUUACCACAGUUACUGUGAUAUGCAUUUUUCUUUUCAUUGUCCUAAAUACAAAACUCAAUCUCCAGACUAUUUGCAGUUUCAUAAAGGUUUGAUAUUACAAAUCAGAGCAAGUGAAAUUUGAAUAUGGACAAGCGGAGUUUUAAGUGUCCGUGGACAAGUA